AGUUUAAGCGAUUAUUGUUUACCGACAUUGCCAUGUACAAUACAAUGCAUGUAGCAUUUGUAUUGUACGCGGAAACGGAACGAAAAAGAUGUCUUUGUCGAGUUCAUUGCAAAACUUUCGUGUCGCGAAACCAGCAGGUUUUAGAAGAAAUACAAAGUCUUCGAACAACUGCUGUUCGCAAUGAAUUAGAGAUAAGUAAGUUAUAUGAAUGAAUGAAGGAAUUUUCUUCAUUCUCUGCGUUGAGCAAGUGACGUGGACUAUGGGCCUAACCCCUCUCAUUCUGAGAGGAGACUCGAGCUCAGCAGUGAGCCGAAUAUGGUAUUUUUAUAUGGUGAGCUUCCAUCAUAGGAUAAGUUGGUUUAAGAUUUGGAGUAGGCUUAUUCAGUACUAGCAGACACACCAUAGUUUGACCGGUGUAGUUCCCGUUCCUGUGGGAAUAUGGGGUAGCACAGAGUAAUACGGGCUAUAUUUUAUAUAGCCUAUAUUACUCUGUGCUGUAGCUUACCAAUGGUGAAAGAUUUUUUAUAAUCAGUCCAGUAGUAUUUGUGUUAGAUUGUAAGAAACAAAUAAUAAGAUCGGUCACUGUCAUCCUAAGAACCUAAAUUAAACCAUUGAAUAUUAUUUACAGGUCUUGGCAGCUUUAAACUUUUAUGCCAAUGGAUCAUACAAAUGGCUUUGUGAUGGCUAAGGCAUCUUUUAGCAAAUGCCUACAUGAAGUCGCUGGCGCUCCUGAAUACCCCAGCUGUUUAAAAAAAAUGUGUUAAGUUCCCUUUGCAUUAAACACAAAAUCAUUAUAAAUAAAUAUGUGAUGCCAAUCUAAUAAUAACAUAGUGGAUGCUCAAUUUGGUGGUGCAUCUUAUGACUUGUACAUAUGGAACCAGUGCAAUAAGACCACUUGAGGAAAACCUGCCCAAUAGGGACCGCUGUUGGUCGUUAGGUGACCAAUGUUUGCAUGAUGACCCCCAUCUUGGGAGCUGCUCCUAGAUCCCAUGAAGAUAUGCACAACAUUGCUGUGUCAGAAAUACGGUGGAGCCUUGUAGUUGGGUGCAUAUUGUAAAAUGUUUCCUCACUCCAAAACCAUGAACUCUGGUUUCCUAAACCCUCAAGCUAUGCAGCCGAAGGAGGAGACUUAUCACAGGAGAAUCACUAAUAAUUUUGAAGAAGUGAAGAGCUUAACAAUGUUUCAACCAACACCUAAAGAAGCUUUCACUUGGCUGUUAGAUCAAGGGCUGGAUACAGAAAACAGUAAUCCUUGUGAUGGCAGUAUUGUCCAAGGAUUCCUCACUCAAAACCAUGAUAACAAGUUGCUAGAACCCUCAAGCUAUGCAGACAAAGGACUGGAUAUAUUUUUUCGUGACCAAGCCUUCUGUAUAAUUAUUUAUACUUAAACCAUACAAAGCACUAUCUAGCCCCAAAGUAGGCAUACAGAGUAGCUUGUGUUGUGGGUACUAAGAUAGUUGAUAUUAUAAUAUUCAUUUACAUUUAUAUACUACCUAUAAA